rnacentral:rRNA from 1 species
GACGAACGCUGGCGGCAUGCCUAAUACAUGCAAGUCGAACGAGCUUCCGUUGAAUGACGUGCUUGCACUGAUUUUAACAAUGAAGCGAGUGGCGAACUGGUGAGUAACACGUGGGGGAAUCUGCCCAGAAGCAGGGGAUAACACUUGGAAACAGGUGCUAAAUACCGGUAUAACAACAAAAUCCACAUGGAUUUUGUUUGAAAGGUGGCUUCGGCUAUCACUU